AUAAAAUUUUGUAAUUUCCAACUUGUAAUCUAAAUAUAUAUGGAGAUCUGUUCUAUUUUAUUUUCUAUCUUCAGUAAAUGAGCUCACUAACACUAAUCCAUCAAGUGCCAGCGACCAGGAUUUGUUCAAGCGACUUCACAAUGAAUUCUCUGUUAUAUUUUUAGUAUUUGACAAGCUGAACAGUGCAUUCAGUCCACCUUCCUACAGUGUAUGGACAACUCUGUUGGCUAAUGUGCACGAUACUUUGCUCGAGAUUGCCAGACUUUCAAGCAUUUUAUUAG
rnacentral:sRNA from 1 species